rnacentral:lncRNA from 1 species
AGUAUUUGUUCUUAUUGUACAGCUGUAAGCUCAAUCCACAAUGCUGUGCUUGGCCUCUGAGCACUGCACAAUUAAAAAAAAAAAAAAGAAAGAAAAAAAAAAAAAGUAAUUACCCUUCAGAUUUUUUUUAAUGCAGAAAAUACAUCAGUUAGUGUAGUUGAGUGCGUGCUUUUAAAAGUCUGACAGUGAUGAAACAAGGAAUUUAAUUCACACACAGAAGCUUAAAGAAGGAAGCUUAUAAGGGAGAUGGUUCUGAUACGUGUAGUCCUGAUAUAAAGCUAUUUAGCUUUGUAACAGAAGAAUGUACAGUGAGAUCCAGCAGAAGAUGGAAGCUGAAGCUUGGCAGACUAAGGCUAGAAAAAUCUGUGGUUUAAAUUCAGUAGGGAUAUCUAAUCGGUAGAGAAAUACAUUUAAGGGCACGACACUCUCCCCAUAUCUUCAGCAUUUUAAAUCAGCCUUCUGUUACAAACUUAGCAAUCAAAUACAAAUUGACGCAGAAGCUACUGAGUAAUUGUUGAGUGUGUGUUACACGCAAGAUCAGACUAGAGGGCAUCACAGCCCUUUUUGGUGUUCGUCUGUUUAAAUUGAAGCAGCAAUGCUAAGAAAGUGCUUCUUAGUAUAAAAACCCCCAGGGCUAAUUGCUCUUGUUUUCUUAACUUCUUUAUGGUUAUGUCUGCAGGGUGCAAUACCUUACAGAGCUUUAGCUGUUGGUGGGACACACCAAGAUCAGCAGAACAUCAUGCCGACGCCUCCAGCAUUUCACUGUGCCAGACAGACAAAUUCUGAGUGUUUUAGGGUGCAUGUGUCUCAUGCCAGUAGCAACUCUCAUGUCUGCGUGAAAGCCUCAAGGUCAAGGUUUAGGUUUUUCCUCCUGUCAUAGAGAAGAGACAGCAACCAGUUGGGAAAGGAGGAUCCAAUUCUUCCCAUGCUUUUUUAAAAGUGUAAAUUGAUAAACAAAUUACAUCUUUUGAUUGUAUUUGAACCAGUUUUAUUUAUGCAGUUUUCUGACAGGGUACUCUUUAAGGGGUCAGUCUGAAGAUUUUGCUCUGUAAUGCUUUUAAAAAUGUUUAUUGAUCUUUUUGCUGCCCUCUCAGUGUUCAGAGAGUUUUCCUGAUACUCGUUCUUUUCCUUUCUGAUGAACUUGUCAGGAAAUGAUGAAAUUAACUAUGUCUCUAGCUGUGUUAAAUGUACAGGGUGAACAAUUUCAAAAACUAGAUUAAAAACUGUUUUCUUUCCUGCAGGUCUAUUCUGACUACAGCUGUUAGUCAUUUUUUUGACAAUACGUGCACUUCCAGAAAGAACUGAUUGUCAAGGUAACAAUAUCUCCUGCAGAACACAUCUCGAGGUUCAUCUUCCUACAAAUAUUGGAAUAAAAACCGCUCUUCAUUCA